rnacentral:rRNA from 1 species
GAACGCUAGCUACAGGCUUAACACAUGCAAGUCGACGUGCAGCAUCAUCAAAGCUUGCUUUGAUGGAUGGCGACCGGCGCACGGGUGAGUAACACGUAUCCAACCUGCCGACAACACUGGGAUAGCCUUUCGAAAGAAAGAUUAAUACCGGAUGGCAUAGUUUUCCCGCAUGGGAUAAUUAUUAAAGAAUUUCGGUUGUCGAUGGGGAUGCGUUCCAUUAGGCAGUUGGCGGGGUAACGGCCCACCAAACCAACGAUGGAUAGGGGUUCUGAGAGGAAGGUCCCCCACAUUGGAACUGAGACACGGUCCAAACUCCUACGGGAGGCAGCAGUGAGGAAUAUUGGUCAAUGGACGAGAGUCUGAACCAGCCAAGUAGCGUGAAGGAUGACUGCCCUAUGGGUUGUAAACUUCUUUUAUACGGGAAUAAAGUGAGCCACGUGUGGCUUUUUGUAUGUACCGUAUGAAUAAGGAUCGGCUAACUCCGUGCCAGCAGCCGCGGUAAUACGGAGGAUCCGAGCGUUAUCCGGAUUUAUUGGGUUUAAAGGGAGCGUAGGCGGGUUGUUAAGUCAGUUGUGAAAGUUUGCGGCUCAACCGUAAAAUUGCAGUUGAUACUGGCGACCUUGAGUGCAACAGAGGUAGGCGGAAUUCGUGGUGUAGCGGUGAAAUGCUUAGAUAUCACGAAGAACUCCGAUUGCGAAGGCAGCUUACUGGAUUGUAACUGACGCUGAUGCUCGAAAGUGUGGGUAUCAAACAGGAUUAGAUACCCUGGUAGUCCACACAGUAAACGAUGAAUACUCGCUGUUGGCGAUAUACAGUCAGCGGCCAAGCGAAAGCAUUAAGUAUUCCACCUGGGGAGUACGCCGGCAACGGUGAAACUCAAAGGAAUUGACGGGGGCCCGCACAAGCGGAGGAACAUGUGGUUUAAUUCGAUGAUACGCGAGGAACCUUACCCGGGCUUAAAUUGCAACUGACUGAACCGGAAACGGUUCUUUCUUCGGACAGUUGUGAAGGUGCUGCAUGGUUGUCGUCAGCUCGUGCCGUGAGGUGUCGGCUUAAGUGCCAUAACGAGCGCAACCCUUACGGGUAGUUACCAUCAGGUUAUGCUGGGGACUCUACCCGGACUGCCGUCGUAAGAUGUGAGGAAGGUGGGGAUGACGUCAAAUCAGCACGGCCCUUACGUCCGGGGCUACACACGUGUUACAAUGGGGGGUACAGAAGGCAGCUACACGGCGACGUGGUGCUAAUCCCGAAAGCCUCUCUCAGUUCGGAUUGGAGUCUGCAACCCGACUCCAUGAAGCUGGAUUCGCUAGUAAUCGCGCAUCAGCCACGGCGCGGUGAAUACGUUCCCGGGCCUUGUACACACCGCCCGUCAAGCCAUGAAAGCCGGGGGUACCUAAAGUACGUAACCGCGAGGAG